GUUGGGUAGGGGAGCGUUCUGUAAGCCUGCGAAGGUGUACUGUGAGGUAUGCUGGAGGUAUCAGAAGUGCGAAUGCUGACAUAAGUAACGAUAAUGCGGGUGAAAAACCCGCACGCCGGAAGACCAAGGGUUCCUGUCCAACGUUAAUCGGGGCAGGGUGAGUCGACCCCUAAGGCGAGGCUGAAAAGCGUAGUCGAUGGGAAACGGGUUAAUAUUCCCGUACUGGUGGUAACUGCGAUGGGGGAACGGAGAAGGCUAGGUUGUCCGGGCGACGGUCGUCCCGGUUCAAGCAGGUAGGCAGAGUGAUUAGGCAAAUCCGGUCACUUAAUGCUGAGAUGUGAUGACGAACCACUAAGGUGGUGAAGCAAUUGAUGCCCCGCUUCCAGGAAAAGCCUCUAAGCUUCAGGUUACCAACAAUCGUACCCCAAACCGACACAGGUGGUCAGGUAGAGAAUACUCAGGCGCUUGAGAGAACUCGGGUGAAGGAACUAGGCAAAAUGGUGCCGUAACUUCGGGAGAAGGCACGCUGGCGGUAGGUAAAGUCCCUCGCGGACAGAGCUGAAGCCAGUCGAAGAUACCAGCUGGCUGCAACUGUUUAUUAAAAACACAGCACUGUGCAAACACGAAAGUGGACGUAUACGGUGUGACGCCUGCCCGGUGCUGGAAGGUUAAUUGAUGGGGUUAGCGCAAGCGAAGCUCCUGAUCGAAGCCCCAGUAAACGGCGGCCGUAACUAUAACGGUCCUAAGGUAGCGAAAUUCCUUGUCGGGUAAGUUCCGACCUGCACGAAUGGCGUAAUGAUGGCCAGGCUGUCUCCACCCGAGACUCAGUGAAAUUGAACUCGCUGUGAAGAUGCAGUGUACCCGCGGCAAGACGGAAAGACCCCGUGAACCUUUACUAUAGCUUGACACUGAACAUUGAGCCUUGAUGUGUAGGAUAGGUGGGAGGCUUUGAAGUGUGGACGCCAGUCUGCAUGGAGCCAACCUUGAAAUACCACCCUUUAACGUUUGAUGUUCUAACCUAGGCCCGUGAUCCGGGUCGGGGACCGUGUCUGGUGGGUAGUUUGACUGGGGCGGUCUCCUCCUAAAGAGUAACGGAGGAGCACGAAGGUUGGCUAAGCAUGGUCGGACAUCAUGCGGUUAGUGCAAAGGCAUAAGCCAGCUUGACUGCGAGAGUGACGGCUCGAGCAGGUACGAAAGUAGGUCUUAGUGAUCCGGUGGUUCUGAAUGGAAGGGCCAUCGCUCAACGGAUAAAAGGUACUCCGGGGAUAACAGGCUGAUACCGCCCAAGAGUUCAUAUCGACGGCGGUGUUUGGCACCUCGAUGUCGGCUCAUCACAUCCUGGGGCUGAAGUAGGUCCCAAGGGUAUGGCUGUUCGCCAUUUAAAGUGGUACGCGAGCUGGGUUUAGAACGUCGUGAGACAGUUCGGUCCCUAUCUGCCGUGGGCGUUGGAAGAUUGAGAGGGGUUGCUCCUAGUACGAGAGGACCGGAGUGAACGCACCACUGGUGUUCGGGUUGUCAUGCCAAUGGCAUUGCCCGGUAGCUAAGUGCGGAAGAGAUAACCGCUGAAAGCAUCUAAGCGGGAAACUUGCCUCGAGAUGAGUCUUCCCUGUCGCUUAAAGUGACCUAAAGGAACGUUUAAGAC
rnacentral:rRNA from 1 species